rnacentral:rRNA from 1 species
GACGAACGCUGGCGGCGUGCUUAACACAUGCAAGUCGAGCGGAAAGGCCCUGCUUUUGUGGGGUGCUCGAGUGGCGAACGGGUGAGUAACACGUGAGUAACCUGCCCUUGACUUUGGGAGAAAUUCAGGGAAAAGGGGAUAAUACCGGAUAGGAUCUCCUGCUGCGUGGUGGGGGUUGGAAAGUUUCGGCGGUUGGGGAUGGACUCGCGGCUUAUCCGCUUGUUGGUGGGGUAGGGGCUUACGAAGGCUUUGACGGGUAGCCGGCCUGAGAGGGUGGCCGGCCACAUUGGGACUGAGAUACGGCCCAGACUCCUACGGGAGGCAGCAGGGGGGAAUAUUGCACAGUGGGGGGAAGCCUGAUGCAGCAACGCCGCGUGCGGGAUGACGGCCUUCGGGUUGUAAACCGCUUUCGCCUGUGACGAAGCGUGAGUGACGGUAAUGGGUAAAGAAGCACCGGCUAACUACGUG